UAUGCAACCUGCCUGUAAGCGGGGAAUAACCCGUGAAAGACAGACUAAUACCGCAUAAUACUAAAUUACUGCAUGGUAAUUUAUUUAAACAUUUAUGGCUUACAGAUGGGCAUGCGCAUGAUUAGCUAGUUGGAGAGGUAACGGCUCCCCCAAGGCAACGAUCAUUAGGGGUUCUGAGAGGAAGGUCCCCCACACUGGUACUGAGACACGGACCAGACUCCUACGGGAGGCAGCAGUGAGGAAUAUUGGUCAAUGGACGAGAGUCUGAACCAGCCAAGUCGCGUGCAGGAAGAAUGUACCCUAUGGAUUGUAAACUGCUUUUGCAGGGGAAUAAAGUGCAUCACGUGUGAUGUUUUGUAUGUACUCUGCGAAUAAGGAUCGGCUAACUCCGUGCCAGCCGCAGC
rnacentral:rRNA from 1 species